rnacentral:rRNA from 1 species
UACGUAGGGGGCAAGCGUUGUCCGGAAUCAUUGGGCGUAAAGAGCGCGUAGGCGGCCCUGUAAGUCCGCUGUGAAAGUCAAGGGCUCAACCCUUGGAUGCCGGUGGAUACUGCCGGGCUAGAGUCCGGAAGAGGCGAGUGGAACUCCUGGUGUAGCGGUGGAAUGCGCAGAUAUCAGGAAGAACACCAACGGCGAAGGCAGCUCGCUAGGACGGUACUGACGCUGAGACGCGAAAGCGUGGGGAGCGAACAGG